UACAGAGGGUGCAAGCGUUGUCCGGAAUCACUGGGCGUAAAGGGCGCGUAGGCGGCCUGGUAAGUAGGGGGUGAAAGAUCAGGGCUUAACCCUGAACCCGCCUUCUAAACUGCCAGGCUCGAGCACAGUAGAGGCAGGUGGAAUUCCACGUGUAGCAGUGAAAUGCGUAGAGAUGUGGAGGAACACCGAUGGCGAAGGCAGCCCCCUGGGUCAACACUGACGCUCAUGCACGAAAGCGUGGGGAGCAAACAGG
rnacentral:rRNA from 1 species